UGUCUACACUGAAUUGAAGUAGGUUACUGCAAUUUUUGCUAUUAUAAUGAAAGGACAAAUCUGUCCCACUGGUUUUAAGCCAUGGAGAAAGAUUAUGCUUGAAUAUAUACAAUGGCUAAUAUUUAAUUUUCAUUUGAUUUGUAUUUAGAUCUAUACUUGGAAAUGCACUUAUUUCAGGAAAAAAAUAAGAGGAAAAGAAUGUUUAGUGUGUUUUCCGUUGGAUACUCAGUACAAGCAGAAAAAACAGAGUUCAACUGAGAU